GGGCCCUUAGCUCAGUGGUCAGAGCGCUCGGCUCAUAACCGGGUGGUCAUGGGUUCGAACCCCAUAGGGCCCA
rnacentral:tRNA from 1 species